AACACCUGAAGAGAAUGAAUCCCA
rnacentral:piRNA from 1 species